AUUCUGCCCAUGCGGGGAAGGAUGAGAAGCUUCGACCAAGGUUCGACUCGAGCGCCAGCGAGAGAGCGUUGCCGCAGGCAACGACCCGAAGGGCGAAGCGCGCAGCGCUGAGUAAUCCUUCCCCC
rnacentral:sRNA from 1 species